rnacentral:rRNA from 1 species
GACGAACGCUGGCGGCAUGCUUAACACAUGCAAGUCGAACGGGACGUUCGGGUUUAGUUGGGGACCGGUGGGUAACGAGUGGGAACCUGCCCUUGGGUACGGAAUCACUACCUGUAAGGGGUGCUAAUAACGCCUAAUGUCUUAGGGCAAAAGAUGUAAUGCCUUUGGGUGGGCGCGCGUUGGUUUAGCGAGUUGGUAGGGGAAAAGCGUAUCAAGGGGACGAUCCAGGGCUGGUGUGAGAGGAGGAUCAGCCACACUGGGACUGAGACACGGCCCAGAAUCGUACGGGAAGGAGCAGUGGGGAGUAUUAGACAAUGGGCGAAAGCCUGAUCCAGCAAUGCCGCGGAAGUGAUGAAGGCCUUAGGGUAGUAAAGCUCUUUGACCCGGGAUGAGAAUGACAGUACCGGGAGAAUAAGCACCGGCUAACUCCGUG